rnacentral:hammerhead_ribozyme from 15 species
AAGCAGUCGGGGCAGCGGUAGCCUCCUGACGAGAGCUUUCGCAGGCUCAAAACUGCUG